ACCAAGAUGGCCGAGUGGACUAUGGCGGUGGCCUUAAGCUUGAAGCGUAAUAUCCACUAUCGAAAGAUUCCUGGGUUCGAACCCCAGUCUUGGUA
rnacentral:tRNA from 1 species